rnacentral:lncRNA from 1 species
UGUUUCUUUGUUACAUGAACAAGGAACUUUAGAAGAAAGCACAAAGGCAUGGACACUCAAUGUGCCAUGAUUCUUCACUUACAAAUUGUUGUAUGAAGAAAUGAGAGUUGCCUUGUACAACUCUUGAAAGUUUGUAAUUAUGUUUAGAACAUAAUGGUUGGUUGACAAAAAUAGUCCAUUAACAUGGACUUAUGAUGAUUUUGAAUCAUUGAGUGUUGAAGUGAUAAACCACUUAACGAGACGGAAACUAGGCUAGGACUUCACCUUUAUGUCCCUAUCCUAAUGGUUCACUAAGUUUAUUGUAAACUAUGUUGUGAACAAUAACCACAUGCUCUCCAAAAUGUUUGAUGUGUAUAACACAAUUGAAAUAAGUUUCAAGAGAGAUAGUGGGAGUUUAGGGACCAUGACUAUUGUAGUCAAAGGAGAAGUCAAAUGAAGAAGAUAAAAUUAACUCCAAGGGAACAAACUUUUUUUAUGAAAGGAUGGACAUUGGAAGGGGUAUUUGCAAGAAAUGUCUUGCAAGUGUCAAGAACAGUUCAAAACAAAUUGGUUCUUCUACUUGAAUGCUUGAUUCCGUAUUAGUAACUAUGUUUUACAAUCGUUGUAAAAGUGUGACUAUUAAGAAGUAGAAGAAAUAUGAGAGAAGGAAAAGGUGCUUCACAUUCGGAACGUGAAUAAAAUAUAGAUCUCUGCGAAAGCAGAUAGUACUUACUUCCUCAUAUGAACUACCAAAGAAAUUGGAAAAACCAAAGAUUGUCUUUACAUUCCAAUUUUAAGGAAUUUAAUUCCGUCACUAUAGUAGAGAUGGAUAAAUGUUUUGUUUGACAAAACAUUGUUCUUUAUUAAUCAAUGAUUGGAUUAUAGUAAUCUAAUUGAUUGUCUCUAUAGUAGAGAAAAUAUGGUAGUGUUAACUGUUUAGAAUAUAAUGAUGCUUAAAACCCAAAAGGUUGCAAGUUAGUGACUAAUCCCAACUAAGUUGUGAUACCUCUAAAAACAUAAGUUACGAGUUGGUGAAAGAUGGAUGCUUUGGAUCAUUAGAUCCGGAUCCAAUACCUUCUUGUUAAAAUUGUAUAGAGGCGAAAUGUUCGAAUCUUUAUUCUUUUGGAAAGAAGAAAGAAUCACAAAGUUGUUGAGGUUAAUUCACUUAGAUGUUAGUGGCACUUGUCCACAACAUAAUCAUACUCAUGUUAUAUGACAUUCACCGAAGAUCACUCUCGGUUGGACUAUAGUUUGUUUUGAAUAAACACAAGUCCGAAUACUUUGUAAAAUGUUUCAAAGAAUUCAAGAAAUGUAAGUUGAUGAGUAAGACAUCUAAAGUAAUUACCUCCUUAGAUUUGAUCCAAGGAAAAGUAACACUUUAGAUGAGUUUCCUUGAUAGAUAUCAAGGAAAAUAGCAUCAUAAGAUAAUGAAUUUCUCCAUUAGGAGAAGAACGAACUCGAAUAAGGUUUGGUUCGUUAGAUGUUAUCUAUUACCCAUAUAUAGGAUAUAUAUACUUCUAAAACAAUAUGAUUGUCAAUUAGAAGAUCUUCCAAAAUUUUCAUAACUCCAUAAGAUGUAGUUGGAAAGAAAGACAAAUCUUAAGCAUGUUAAGAUUUGGGGUUGUGUGCUAAAAGCAAUAUUUGUUUGAUAACAAUCUUGUGGGAUAUCCUUAAAUUAACUUUUGGAUAUCACUUCUAUAAACCAACUAACAAAUGUUGUUUUGUUGAGUAGUUCAUUGUAAUCCUACAAUGUGAUUUGCCUAAGAGCAAAUGAACGAGAGAUAGAACUCAAAAGAAUAGGUUCUUUGUGAGACAAGAAAGUAAUCAACAAAUAUAACAACCUAGUUCCUAUACCAAAAGCUCCAAGGUAGUCGAGAAGGAUUUAUAAACCGUCUCAGUUGAAUGGUUUGAACUUUAUGACUAUGUCAUAGAGUUACACCUCUUAAUUCGAAAGAAAUAAGAAUGAAAAUCCUUAUGACUACAUUGAGUGUAUAUAUGAUAUAUACUACUCAAGGAAAUGGUAAAAUACCAUUUGACCCGAAAUAAUGAAACCUUCAUAAGCUAAUUGGUAGCUUAAGGUGACUACAAUCAAAGAGAAUGGUUGACUUCGAAGAAACCAUCUUUGAGAUAGUCUUGGUUUCAAUUAAUUCGAAAAUCGUUGGCUACAACUAAAUGGUAAUUCAAUGUUUGGACAUAAUAUGGGUUUCCGAAACCAUUAUUAAGAUAGUCUUAAUAACAUAUGUCUAAAACUAUGAAUCACAAGACAUGUAAGUUGUAGAGAUCCAUCCAUCAUGAAUCUUAGCAAGCUAGUGGGAGCUAUAAGCAUCUUGUGAGAAAAAGGAUCAAAUCGUUUGAUUUCUCAUAAAGAUGUAAAUGAAUCUUUUGUUUACUAGGUUUACAAAAGAUUAGUGGGAGUUAAUCAUGUUCCUAAAAUUUAAGUAUAUAUAUAUGAUAUAUUAAUUUUGGAAAUGAAAUGAAAACUUCUUGGUUAAAGUUAUGACUUUAAAACAUUAUAUGAAGAUAGAAUGUAUAUGGGAGUUAAUCAUGUUCCUAAAAUAUAAAUAUAUAUAUGAUAUAUUAAUUUUGGAAAUGAAAAGAAUACUUCUUCGUUAAAGUUAUGACUUUAAGCAUUCUAUAACGAUAGAAUGUAUAUGGGAGACAUAGUCUAUAAACAUGGGAUGGAAAUCUAUAAUGAUAGAUUUUAGGAUAUAAUUGGAUUAUAUCAACCCCUAAAUAAUAGACAAGAGAUGCUAGGAAGUUUCUCAUAUGAUGAUAAACUUCAAUCAAAUGGACAACUCUAGUAAGACUAAGAUGUUGCUCUUCUCAAAGAGAACGUACUCUUUGACUCCCAAAGAAAUAAUGCGUAAAUAGAAUCCUUUAUGCAUACGCAGAAAGGUGAUUUAUGUAUUUCAUAUUGUAUGAAAAACAUUGAUAUGAGUUGUACCUAGAACAGGUACAAGACGAUGUCAGUGCAAGCCCAGGAUCAGAACCAUGGCAACUGUCAAGUGAAUCCUUAAGUAUUUAAGAAAUACUAAAGGAUAAAUUCCUCAAAGAUCGAGGAAGAAUUAGAGUAACGUAAUGGAAGCGUAAAUGUAUUAGAUUGUGAAUCUAAUCCAUCAUUGGAUGUUUCUUCAUUAUGAAUGAAGAGAUAAACAGAUAUCUCUUUAUUAUAACUAAAGAGAUAUUUGGAUGGAAACAUUAAAGUAAUGACUUUAGUGUGUUCCGUUAUGAAUGCAAAAUAUAUUGCCAUAUAGAAGUUUACAACAAUGUUGUUUGGAUGGGAAAGUUCAUUUAUGAACUCUCUAUUCGGUUCCAACCAGAAAGCGUAUGACACUAAUGGGGCGAUAGCUCAAGCCAGGGAAUCAAGGUCUCAUCAAGGUCCGAACUUAAAUGAGAGACUGAACCACAUGAUUGAGAAUCAUGUAUAAUGGUGACGUCGUUAUUCUCAAGGUUGCUUCUAUGGAUAACAUAUAGAUAUCCAUUGUCUAGGCCUACUACUCAGCCAUUUAUGAAAUGACUACAUAAGAGGUAUCAUCACAGAUGAUCAAGCUGAUUGGCUCUAGUGCAAGUGGGAGAUUGUUGGAAAUGUGCCCUAAAACCAAUCAUGUGAUGA